rnacentral:rRNA from 1 species
GGGUCAGUAGGUUGGUCGUGCCACCGGUACGUACUGGUCUCACUGAUUCCUCCUUCCUGAAGAACCGUAAUGCCAUUAAUUUGGUGUUGCGGGGAAACAGGACUGUUACUUUGAAAAAAUUAGAGUGUUUAAAGCAAGCUAACGCUUGAAUACAUUAGCAUGGAAUAAUGAAAUAGAACGAUCGACCCUAUUUUGUUGGUUUCUAGGAUUGACGUA